GUGCAUUAGCUAGUUGGUGGGGUAACGGCCUACCAAGGCAACGAUGCAUAGCCGACCUGAGAGGGUGAUCGGCCACAUUGGGACUGAGACACGGCCCAAACUCCUACGGGAGGCAGCAGUAGGGAAUCUUCCACAAUGGACGAAAGUCUGAUGGAGCAACGCCGCGUGAGUGAUGAAGGUUUUCGGAUCGUAAAACUCUGUUGUAAGGGAAGAACAAGUACGUUAGUAACUGAACGUACCUUGACGGUACCUUAUUAGAAAGCCACGGCUAACUACGUGCCAGCAGCCGCGGUAAUACGUAGGUGGCAAGCGUUGUCCGGAUUUAUUGGGCGUAAAGCGCGCGCAGGUGGUUUCUUAAGUCUGAUGUGAAAGCCCACGGCUCAACCGUGGAGGGUCAUUGGAAACUGGGAGACUUGAGUGCAGAAGAGGAAAGUGGAAUUCCAAGUGUAGCGGUGAAAUGCGUAGAGAUUUGGAGGAACACCAGUGGCGAAGGCGACUUUCUGGUCUGUAACUGACACUGAGGCGCGAAAGCGUGGGGAGCAAACAGGAUUAGAUACCCUGGUAGUCCACGCCGUAAACGAUGAGUGCUAAGUGUUAGGGGGUUUCCGCCCCUUAGUGCUGCAGCUAACGCAUUAAGCACUCCGCCUGGGGAGUACGGCCGCAAGGUUGAAACUCAAGAA
rnacentral:rRNA from 1 species